rnacentral:rRNA from 1 species
AGGGUUUGAUCAUGGCUCAGGAUGAACGCUGGCGGCGUGCCUAACACAUGCAAGUCGAACGAGAUGCGUAUCGGAAAGCUUCGGCCGGAAGAUACGUUAUCUAGUGGCGGACGGGUGAGUAACACGUGGGUAACCUGCCUUAUGGAGGGGGAUAACAGAGAGAAAUCACUGCUAAUACCGCAUAAGCACACAGUACCGCAUGGUACAGGGUGAAAAGAUUUAUCGCCAUAAGAUGGACCCGCGUCUGAUUAGCCAGUUGGCAGGGUAAAAGCCUACCAAAGCAACGAUCAGUAGCCGAUCUGAGAGGAUGACCGGCCACAUUGGGACUGAGACACGGCCCAAACUCCUACGGGAGGCAGCAGUGGGGAAUAUUGCACAAUGGGGGAAACCCUGAUGCAGCGACGCCGCGUGAGUGAAGAAGUAUUUCGGUAUGUAAAACUCUAUCAGCAGGGAAGAUAAUGACAGUACCUGACUAAGAAGCCCCGGCUAACUACGUGCCAGCAGCCGCGGUAAUACG